GGUGUUUUGUAUAUCCCCCUACUAUACAUAGCUAGCUAGUUGUGUAAGUUGAUGGGAUUAAUCAGGGAUCAAGCUGCGGCAAUCAUACGUUCUACUCGGGGGUUGUUAUUGGAGCUACGGAGGCAUUACUAAGUGGUGUACCAUCAUUAUCAAUAUCAUUAGAUUUGUAAUUUGGUGAUUCUACACAUCUGGUUUCAACUAUGGUAGAGGUGUUAUGUGAACUGGUGUUAUGUGAAUUUGGUGACGCCGUCUAAGUCUUCAAAAGCAAUUGUUGUUGUUGGUGAACCAUCUUUCGGGAAGUCCACUGCACCAAAGUUCAAAGAAAGACCAAAUCCAAUUAAGUCAAAGAAGCGACUUAAAAGUGAUUAUGAAAAAGUUAGAGAAAGGCAGAAAUUCAUUAUAGAACGGAAGAAACAAAAGAGAGAAGAUGAGGAAGCUUUAAAGAAAAAAAGUGCAGCAGGAGAAAUGCAAGAGCAGCAGUAAUGUUCCUGACUUCCAAGGUUCGGCUUCAAUUUGCAUUCUUCUAUUCAUUUCUUGAUACAGUUGGGUUUAUCUUUGUUUAAUGAAUUGUAAUCUUCCUAGUAGCUGUAUGUGAAAUGAUUGCAGUUUUUGGAAUAGAUAAAGGGAAUAAAUUAUAUGGUUUUUUGGUUUUUUGGUUUUCUGGUUUGUAUAUGGUUUCAUUUGAUAAGCUUAUGAGUUAGUAGUGAACAAUGUAUGUUCUAUUAAUGCAGAAUUUGGCCAUAGAAACAUGCUUGAUCUGAUUUAGUACAUCUUUUUCAUUCCAAUU